AACAAACAUUUAAUCUUUUACGCUCUGUUUUUUACUUUACAUAAGAAAAGCUCAGUUUUACAGAGUUUCCCAAACUUCAGAGCCCAUAUCUUUAAUAUUUUGUUUUCAGGAAUUCACUCAUCUUAUAUGGAUUUGAAAGAAGGCACACUAGUAGUAAUGGGAGAUGUUGAUCCUGUGGAGUU
rnacentral:sRNA from 1 species